rnacentral:rRNA from 1 species
GUAGGUGGCAAGCGUUGUCCGGGAAUUAUUGGGGCGUAAAGCGCGCGCAGGCGGUUCUUUAAGUCUGAUGUGAAAGCCCACGGGCUCAACCGUGGAGGGUCAUUGGAAACUGGAGAACUUGAGUACAGAAGAGGAAAGCGGAAUUCCACGUGUAGCGGUGAAAUGCGUAGAGAUGUGGAGGAACACCAGUGGCGAAGGCGGCUUUCUGGUCUGUAACUGACGCUGAGGCGCGAAAGCGUGGGGAGCAAACAGGAUUAGAUACCCUGGUAGUCCACGCCGUAAACGAUGAGUGCUAAGUGUUAGGGGGUUUCCGCCCCUUAGUGCUGCAGCUAACGCAUUAAGCACUCCGCCUGGGGAGCACGGCCGCAAAGGCUGA